rnacentral:lncRNA from 1 species
AGGAGUGUGGUGCCUGCCUGAGAGCCAGAGUUUCACUCUCAGAGGAGGAUUUUGUUCUUCAAUUGUGGAGUGAUCUCUAUCACCAGUGACUAAAGCAGAUGUUGGAGCACAGAGAGCCAUACCCCAAAAUAUGAUGCUUCGGCAUGCUGACUGCUUUGAAAAUUGAAAGGCCUCAGAAAUAAUCCUCAGUGCCAGGGUCUCCCUCUGACCUCCCCCUACCUCCCUUUCUCUCUGAUCCUGUCUCUCCCAAAGCACAGAAUGAAGCUGUUCUCUGAAUUCCCUUAUCUACCUAGAAACUGGACCCCCAAAGAGGAACACAAUUUGCCUUUGAUCCCUUCCCUGAAAUUUCAUUAACCAGAGAAAAUUAAAACUUCUAUCACAAAGGAAGAGACUGAACAUUAAACACCAUAGCUACAGCCCAGACAAACUUCUUCCCAAACCAUUGUUUGUUCUCCUGCCUGUUAAAUUGCCAGAGAAUCAUUCACAAGAUAAAGUCUGCCUUCUGGGUCCAUUCAUUCCCCACUAAAAAUCUUUUACUCCUACACCCUCAUGUCUCCUUCCUCCAUGAAGAAGGGUCUAUAAACCUCUAGGCCUCAUUGGGUUAUUGGGUAAUCAUUCUCAUGCAGUUCCCCUGUGCUCUGCAUGUUAAAUAAAUUUGUAUGCCUUUUUC